rnacentral:rRNA from 1 species
UACCAGCACCCCGAGUGGUCGGGACGAUUAUUGGGCCUAAAGCAUCCGUAGCCGGCCUUACAAGUCCUCCGUUAAAUCCAGCUGCUUAACAGAUGGGCUGCGGAGGAUACUAUAAGACUAGGAGGCAGGAGAGGCAAGCGGUACUCAGUGGGUAGGGGUAAAAUCCGUUGAGUCCAUUGAAGACCACCAGUGGCGAAGGCGGCUUGCCAGAAUGCGCUCGACGGUGAGGGAUGAAAGCUGGGGG